CUACGGGGCGCUGCAGUGGGGAAUAUUGCACAAUGGGCGCAAGCCUGAUGCAGCCAUGCCGCGUGUAUGGAGAAGGCCUUCGGGUUGUAAAGUACUUUCAGCGGGGAGGAAGGGAGUAAAGUUAAUACCUUUGCUCAUUGACGUUACCCGCAGAAGAAGCACCGGCUAACUCCGUGCCAGCAGCCGCGGUAAUACGGAGGGUGCAAGAGUUAAUCGGAAUUACUGGGCGUAAAGCGCACGCAGGCGGUUUGUUAAGUCAGAUGUGAAAUCCCCGGGCUCAACCUGGGAACUGCAUCUGAUACGGGCAAGCUUGAGUCUCGUAGAGGGGGGUAGAAUUCCAGGUGUAGCGGUGAAAUGCGUAGAGAUCUGGAGGAAUACCGGUGGCGAAGGCGGCCCCCUGGACGAAGACUGACGCUCAGGUGCGAAAGCGUGGGGAGCAAACAGGAUUAGAUACCCGAGUAGUC
rnacentral:rRNA from 1 species